UUGAUAUACACUUGGGGCAUUUUAUGCAAAUGUCAAAGCUUUUGAAAUUACUUAGUUGUUUGCUGAAAAGAAACUCUUCAGAUAUUUUAUGUUGAUAUUAAUGGUCAAGAUCAUUGAAUAGGUUAAGGGUGAUUAGUUAUUUAAAGGUGUGAAGAAAAAAAAGGUCACUUGAACAGUAUAAGAAGUUGAAGAAUUUAAAGGAACAAUGAUUUAUUGCAAGUAGCAAUUGUGGAUAGACUUAAUUUUGAAAUGUUUCAAAUGAACAAAGUAUUGUUAAAUGUUCAGAAAGGCUUCUCAUUUAAGAGGGCCGGAAUGUGGAGUACAGGAUGACGUUUUGCUUUAAGCCGAUUCUUGUGAUGUCACAGGCGUCGCUUUGUAGAAAGUGUAUGGAUUAGGUCGCUUGAGGGCGUACUGGAUUUUGUGUGUUACUGAUUUUCCACGUCAUGGGAUAGUUGCCUCCCAGAGUUGCCUAAGUUUUCGUUUAAUUUUGUGAUACAAGCCCAAUGAUAUUGAACCUUGCCUGCUACAGUCUAUAACCAAA